AGUCGAGGGGUAACAGGGAUUGCUUGCAAUCCGCUGACGACCGGCGCACCGGUGCGUAACGCGUAUGCAACCUACCUUCUACAGGGGGAUAGUCAAUAGAAAUGUUGAAUAAUACCCCAUACGAUCAUGAAUUCGCAUGGAUUUAUGAGGAAAGUUCCGGCGGUAGAAGAUGGGCAUGCGUCCUAUUAGUUAGUUGGUAAGGUAACGGCUUACCAAGACAUCGAUAGGUAGGGGUCCUGAGAGGGAGAUCCCCCACACUGGUACUGAGACACGGACCAGACUCCUACGGGAGGCAGCAGUGAGGAAUAUUGGACAAUGGAGGCAACUCUGAUCCAGCCAUGCCGCGUGCAGGAAGACGGCCCUAUGGGUUGUAAACUGCUUUUAUACAGGAAGAAUUGUGCCUACGUGUAGGUAUUUGACGGUACUGUACGAAUAAGGAUCGGCUAACUCCGUGCCAGCAGCCGCAGUAAUACGGAGGAUCCAAGCGUUAUCCGGAAUCAUUGGGUUUAAAGGGUCCGUAGGCGGUCUGAUAAGUCAGAGGUGAAAUCCUGCAGCUCAACUGUAGCAUUGCCUUUGAUACUGUUAGACUUGAGUUAUUGUGAAGUAGUUAGAAUGUGUAGUGUAGCGGUGAAAUGCAUAGAUAUUACACAGAAUACCGAUUGCGAAGGCAGAUUACUAACAAUAUACUGACGCUGAGGGACGAAAGCGUGGGUAGCGAACAGGAUUAGAUACCCUGGUAGUCCACGCCGUAAACGAUGGAUACUAGCUGUUCGACCAACAUUGGUUGGUUGAGUGGCUAAGCGAAAGUGAUAAGUAUCCCACCUGGGGAGU
rnacentral:rRNA from 1 species